rnacentral:rRNA from 1 species
UUUAAAGUCUAAUCUGCCCUAUGAGGUAUUAAAUGGCCGCGGUACUCUGACCGUGCAAAGGUAGCAUAAUAAUUAGUUUCUUAAUUAGAAGCUGGAAUGAAUGAUUGGACGAGAAAAUAACUGUCUCAAUUUAAUUUUAUUAGAAUUUUAUUUUUAAGUAAGAAAGCUUAAAUUUAAUUUAAAGACGAGAAGACCCUAUAGAGUUUUAUAAUUAAUUAUCUGUUAAUUUUUAAGUAUUUUUUUAUUAGUAUUUAAUUAAUUAUUUUGUUGGGGCGAUAGAAAAAUAUAAUUAACUUUUUUUAUAUUUUAUCAUUAAUUUAUGUUUUUAUGAUCCAUUUUUUAUGAUUAUAAGAUUAAGUUACCUUAGGGAUAACAGCGUAAUUUUUUUUUAGAGUUCUUAUCCAAAAUAAAAAUUGCGACCUCGACGUGGGAUUAAACUAAACGUUUGGUGUCCAAACUAGACAAUUAGGUCUGUUCGACCUUUAAAAAAAAACA